rnacentral:rRNA from 1 species
GACGAACGCUGGCGGCGUGCUUAACACAUGCAAGUCGAACGGAAAGGCCCUGCUUUUGUGGGGUGCUCGAGUGGCGAACGGGUGAGUAACACGUGAGUAACCUGCCCUUGACUUUGGGAUAACUUCAGGAAACUGGGGCUAAUACCGGAUAGGAGCUCCGGCUGCAUGGGGGGGGUGGGAAAGUUUCGGCGGUUGGGGAUGGACUCGCGGCUUAUCAGCUUGUUGGUGGGGUAGUGGCUUACCAAGGCUUUGACGGGUAGCCGGCCUGAGAGGGUGACCGGCCACAUUGGGACUGAGAUACGGCCCAGACUCCUACGGGAGGCAGCAGUGGGGAAUAUUGCACAAUGGGCGGAAGCCUGAUGCAGCAACGCCGCGUGCGGGAUGACGGCCUUCGGGUUGUAAACCGCUUUCGCCUGUGACGAAGCGUGAGUGACGGUAAUGGGUAAAGAAGCACCGGCUAACUACGUG